rnacentral:lncRNA from 1 species
GUAAAUGAUACUGCCUUUGGUAUAUGUGGAAGGCAUAUGACAUUUGGAACAAAAUAUUUGGAAUAUCGGUCAAGGGCAAAGUAUGUGAUUAGAGAUUGACCUUCCUGGCUCCUAUUGAGCAUUCUUAGUGUUAUGCAUACAAGUUUGUAACAUUUAUAGUAAUACAGGAUAUAGUGGAUCUAGCGCUGUUGUAACCACAACUGUUCAUUCCCGGUUGUAAUGCUUGAGUUUGUUGAAUUAAGUUUCUUCCUCACAUAUAAACAUCUUAUAUAUACAUCGG